CCUACGGGAGGCAGCAGUGGGGGAUAUUGCACAAUGGGGGGAACCCUGAUGCAGCGACGCCGCGUGGGUGAAGAAGCGCCUCGGCGCGUAAAGCCCUGUCAGCAGGGAAGAAAAUGACGGUACCUGAAGAAGAAGCACCGGCUAACUACGUGCCAGCAGCCGUGGGAAUACGGAGGGGGCAAGCGUUAUCCGGAUUUACUGGGGGUAAAGGGGGCGCAGACGGCGAUGCAAGCCAGGAGUGAAAGCCCGGGGCCCAACCCCGGGACUGCUCUUGGAACUGCGUGGCUGGAGUGCAGGAGGGGCAGGCGGAAUUCCUGGUGUAGCGGUGAAAUGCGUAGAUAUCAGGAGGAACACCGAUGGCGAAGGCAGCCUGCUGGACUGCAACUGACGUUGAGGCCCGAAAGCGUGGGGAGCAAACAGGAUUAGAUACCCGGGUAGUC
rnacentral:rRNA from 1 species